AUUGAACGCUGGCGGCAGGCCUAACACAUGCAAGUCGAACGAGUGGAGGACGGGUGAGUAAUGUCUGGGAAACUGCCCGAUGGAGGGGGAUAACUACUGGAAACGGUAGCUAAUACCGCAUACCAUCGGAUGUGCCCAGAUGGGAUUAGCUAGUAGGUGGGGUAACGGCUCACCUAGGCGACGAACCAUAGAUGUUCUGAGAGGAUGACCAGCCGCACUGUAAAUGAGAAACGGUCCAGAAUCCGACGGAAGGCAGCAGUGGGGAAUAGUGCACAAAGGGCGCAAUCCUGAUGCCGACCUGCCGCGUGUAUGAAGAAGGCCUUCGGGUUGUAAAGUACUUUCAGCGAGGAGGCGUUACUCGCAGAAGAAGCACCGGCUAACUCCGUGGCAGCCGCCGCGGUAAUAC
rnacentral:rRNA from 1 species